AAGAUCUCAGGGCUCUUCUCUGCAUUACAGAGAUUGAAGAGAGAGUCAGAGCAAAAGUGAGAGAGAGAGAGAGGAAGAGGUAAAGGAGCCAUUUCUCAGCUGCCUUUCUAUCAAAAACUCCACACUGUCCAACACUUAUCACGGGUUUACAUUCUCAUUUACAGAGGAAGCGGUUGGUUGCAUGGUUAAAUGCCCUUUUAACAUACUUUUAAUGCCCCAGACUAAAUGUGUAGAGUGCAUGCAGUUUGGAAGAACUGCAUAUAUAAACCCUGCUAUUAGAAUUAGAGCCAGAGCAUAUAAUAUUACAGCAAAUACUUCUUAGCAAUGAAGCUUUAGUUGCCUGUAGUCAAUAAUACAGCUUAACUGCAAGCAAAACUGCAUUAUGUGAAAAUUUUGGCAAAUUUUCUUAUAUUCUUUCUUGAAAGUACAACAGUAUGCACUCUCAUGUUUGGGAAACCAGGAGGCAGUAACUUUAGCUUAGCAUAAGCCUGUGAGUAGCAGAACGCAGCUGGUUUAGCUCAGAGCAGAGGCAGAUUUAAAGGUGCCUCUGCAUAUUAGAUUUGUUUUAUCCAUACAGAAUAUAAAUAUAAAACUAUUAAAGUGUGAUUUUACAGACAGACCUGCUCUACAUUUACUUCUUGACCAGUGACCAGAUUAAGUCCUAAAUCUAUUUUUGAGUGCAUUUUGGCAGUAAUGGUAGACAGACGGUCAGAUCCCAGAGGGUGCCAUAUGCAACGGAAAAAAUAUAACACUUAUUCAGGAAGUAUUCCUCUGACUGUCUUUGGAAACAAGUUUUGUUUUUAAAAAAAGGAAAGAAAUUCAUAGACAGCCAGAUACUUCGAUAAAAAUGAGAUCAUUCAUUCUUUAUUUUUCCUCCACAGUUUAGCUAAAUUGAGCAGGAGGGAGGCUAUAAUUAUUGCUGAACUAUUGCUGCUAAUAGCUUUCAUAAGGUACACUAAACUGCUAAAUAUCUGGAUUCACUUGUCUUGUGUUUGAAUUUUGACAGCAUCUGUUCUCAAAUCAAGGAUACCAUAAAACAGUAACAUAUAACCAUGACUGUCAAGCAUUUGUUGCUAUUAGCUAGCUAGCGCUGGCACUGAGUUACACCAGGUGUCCUCUUGGUCUCUGUUCUUGAACAGGUGAGAAUUUAUUGUUCCACAAAAACCGUUUGACUGUUAUAAACCAUUCUGAUGGCUGUAUUUUAAGACAACAUAGGUAAGUGAGCUAUUUUGAGCUAGUCAGAGCUAAAAUUAGCGCUCCUUUUACCUAGCUAAAAUGCUGCGGUAGCUUAUGCAGUUGUUUUAAAUGUGUAUAAUGGAUUAAAUUGACUUGACUAAAUGGACAUGACUAAAUGGUAAGCAGAACUAAAAAAUAAUUCCUUUGUAAGUACAGCAUUUGUAUGACAGGAAGCACAAAGUUGCUUCUGUGAAGAAGUGGGAUUAGUAGCGUCGGUGACACAACAAUACCAAUUAACACUGGCUAACAUUAGGCAUUACAAGCAUCCCAUAAAGCAACAUCACUCCACUGAUUUGAAUUCCCAUGUAUUUGAUUCCUUAUCGAUUGUGAUUUCAUGUGAAAACAUUCUAUAGUCAUGAAAAUUUAAAGACUGUUUUUGCCUUAAAUAUAUCUAUUAUUGAAGACUGACCAAACAUCCACAGCAAUGAGCUGAAAAUGAAAACGUGGUAGAGCGAAUCACACGCUCACUUUCUUCCACAUAAAAUGAGCUGUCGUUAUAGUGCUUGCAAAAUUACAAUGGCAAGAAAAUAAGCGUAUUGUGGCGAGAAGGUACAUCAGCUUUCCUGCCAGCUUAAAAUAUAACGCUCCAGAAAGUAAACCUGUGUGAGUCACUCCCGCUAACAGUGGAAAUAUUGACUGAGCUGCUCAGUGUACUGCAAAACUUGAUGGCUCUCCCAAACCUGAUCGUUUUUCCCAGGAGGGCAGGAACUGGUUGUACCUCGGGCUCUUUUUCGGAUACACAUGCACACAACACGGAUGGAUUAUUCAUGCGCUCGUACGGACAAACAUGCUCACUACAUUCCAGCACACACCUCAUCGCUGACACCUGAGCAGAGAAGGAAAUUGGUGCCAAAUUUGAGGGACACUUCGAAAACUUUUCAUUAUUAGAAGACCUGGAGACAAAUUCUGCACUGUUCCAGCGCUCUCACAGUAUCUCAAGGUGUUAUUUAUACUUUGCCACCGGACUGUGUGAUACUCCGGGAGGAGGGGAUGAUGGGGGGGAGGGCUAUAUGAGGGAGAUGGGUGUUGACGAUGGCACUUGUCGCCACAUGGCACCUGUCAGUGCCUGUGCUGACAUGUACGCUCAGAUGGAGAGCAAGAUUUAUGGCAAGCAGCUUUUAAAAAUCUGCCACUUGGCAACACUGCAUCAUUAACAAGCCUUCUGAAGGCCCACACUUGGCCUGCUUCCAGGAGACGAGAGGGAGAGUUCAGCAUCUCUUUACCACCUCCCCCUCCCUUUCCCUCUACCUCCAUAUAUCCUCCUCUAUCUUUAGAGUACUAUGCAAAGUCAGCACUCUUCAGCCAUCUACCUUUAACAUAUCAAAUGCAUGCCCGCCAGCCUCUUUUUAACACUGAGGAGGAGAAGUGAAGGGCUGGGUGGCAGAGUGUAGCCAUUAGAAUGGACACCUGGUGGCUGAUGCUGCUGCUACUCUCAUUGUCCCCCCAAAAACCCUCCACGUCUUUCAGUCAAACAAACUGAAACACUGAACUUCAAUUGCAGAGUUUGGAACAAGUGGCUUUUCCCCUAAAACAAUCCAAUUCACAGUAAAACACCAAUCAGGUUAAAAAGAAAGAAAAGAAAAAGGGCCAAUCCCCUGAGAUUAAAAGUAGCACUAUUAGAGCAGUAAGUGGUGUCUUUAUGAGAAUGCAAGCUUAGCAGAGGAAAAUAAGUGAGGCGGCUAAGCAAAGGACAUCAAAGAGGCUUACCUCGAGGAGUUGCAUGAGUGGGCACAAAUCACUUAUCAUAAUUAUCAUUGCUCCCUCCACACCUCAGGCCCCGAUUCACAAUGGGGGGGGAAAUAGAGGCAGACAUGAUCUAAGUCACAUUGAAAUGCCACAUUCAUAUGAUUGUAGUUAAUUAAGGAGGGUCCACAGCCAAAACAAGUUGUGAGAUGAUUUCUUUUGUUUCAACUUAACGGUUAGGUGUGUGACGGUGCGCAUGAUCACCAGGGGUAAACUUGUUACUUUAAUGAGGUGUAACUAGAGGAGGGACACAAACUUGGACGAGAUAUAAAGCAUGUGGGGAGGCAUCUGAUGAACCAUGGCCUUUACCCCACAGAUUUAUUGCAUUUUCUUUUCUUUUUUUUUUUGAGACGAGCACCCAGGGAGACGAUGUGCUGGGUGGAUCUGAUGUGUUUUACCAGCCGCUCAGUCGGGAACCAUUACAGAAAAGUAACACAGUUAUGCAUGCAGUCAAAACCUCACAUAACUGAAAAUCCUGACAGCGGAGUCCUUACGGAUUGGUGUUUUGGCUCUGUUCUGAGGCUCAGUAGCAAGACUACAGCACAGAACACACCUUAAUAACAACAGACGUGGUGCUGAUCAAGUUCGACAGGAUAAAAGGAAGACCUGGGGUGGAGAUGAUGACCAGCUGACACAUGUCCUCACUGACAUCUUCAACCUCUCCCUGAGCACUGCUGUCAUCCCAAUGGGCCUCAAGGCCACCACCGUCGUUCCUGUGCCAAAGAAGUCCUCACUGUCCUUCCUCAAUCACUACCGCCCCAUUGCACUCACACCCAUCAUGAUGAAGUUCUUCGAGAGGCUCGUCAUGAGCCCUGUGACAGGAGACUUUUCUGAGAUGUACCCCACCUCUCACCCUAUGGCAGCUGGGAUGGCCUCCAGAGCUUCCUCUGUGAUCCUGAAUCGAAGAAGUGGAAGAAAACGGAUGGACGGGCUAUUAGUGGCAACAAAAGUUACUCAACCUCACACAUCUCUGUGUAUGAACAUGACUAGAUUUAAUCCACACAUUCUACUGAAUAAUGUUACGUGACUCAAACAUCCCACACAACAGAGAUAACGCCCAAAUUCAAAAUAACCCAAGCAAGAGAAGUAUAGAAUCACUCAGGCAAUCAAUAGUUCAGUAAACACACAAUCUUUAUGAAUGAUUUUACACCGAGAUCAUCUUGUUUUAUUGAUUUUUUCCCCCUGUGCUUUCUUGCUAUACUCUUAGCCAAACAUGCAGUUGAUUAAAGCUUGUGUUUUAAUGUUCGAGUGGCUUUCACACAAAAUAUCAUGCAAACAUGGAUUAUGCAAACAAUAACUGUGUAGGUAGUGCAGUGGAAAUAUGACCUUUCUCUUUUAAUACCACGUUAACGUCUGACAUGAAACUUGAAUGCCCGAAAACUAAUAUUGUUAGUAAUGUUGUAAUAGUAGCGAUGCAAAAAACCAUGUAUCAGCACAUUGAAUUACAUCACAGUACAUCAGAGACUGCGAUGCUAUGUAAAUAUCCCCCCAUUUAUAUCAAUGAACUACAGUGCAGUUUCCUGCCUACAUGCAGAGCAUUGUUAGAAGAGGCCUCUAUUCAUCAUCAAGAACACCAGCAACAAAGAGACCUUGAUGUUUUUUUAUAUAAAUCUUGUCUGUUUCCAUCCAUAACCAGUCUCAAUCCACAUUUUUCUGUCUGGUCCAAAUGUAAAAUUCACUUGUGUCACACCAAGUGAGUCUAAACACCCAACGCUGAGAGUGAAUGAGAGCCCUUAUUACAUUUCUCUAGCUCGGUGUUGAAGAAUUCUUACAUUUUUGUGCACCCGCCACUGGUGUGAGGGAUCUAACAAGGCCGAGUGAUGAGGAGCUGAAACAGUGUAACAAUCGUCGUACCCCGCGCCAAUUAUUUCACAUUCCUGUGAUGGGUAAAAUGCCUGAAAGCGCUAACUUCCCACCCGAAAAAAGUUGGUGCUUCACUCCUCCUGUUCCUUGUUUGGCUGCCACGCAUGGCUUCUUCUUAGACUAUCCGCAGGGACUGAUCAGAGUAGCGUGGUCUUGCUAACAGAGCUUUGGCCAUGUGUUAAGGCUAACAAGGUGAAAAAAAUAAUAAUGAGCUAACCCAAAGAAGAGGUCUUUAGCUCUUUUCUGACCUCAAUGUCAGUAUUACCUCAAUCCAAUUCAUCCAGUAUGUUGCUCCUGCCGGAAAAGACGAGCAUUAAGUGGAAAGUAUGAACACAGCCUGACCCUCCGCUGCAAAGCUCAGAUUUGAAGUGAGGGGAAAAAACUUGAAGAAAGCAUCUAAGACUUUUGCAUGUAUCUCUUUAGCAACAUGAGCCAUCAUAAACUGAGAGAAAAGCACAAAGAACAAGAGGCAAAAAUGGCAGGUGAACUGAACAGUCACAUUCAGUACGGCAGCAUAUGGUGGCCAGUAGCCACAGUGUUCAUGUUCUCUCGUAUUUGUUACUUGAAACUCUAUGAAGAGCUUUUGGCAUGUCAGCAAAAGCUGUUGGAAAAGCAAAUAAUCAUUAACUCCCACCCAGGCAACUUUGAGCAGCUUGUUGCCUAGCAUGAGACCGUCUGUUGAUGAUGUAAGCCUAUGCACUUCACAAGUACCUUCAAAAACAUAUUAUUUUAUCACUUUAUCGCUUGCAGCACUUGAUAUCUCAGUUUCCGUACUCUAAGUUAAGAAACCAUAUCAGCACAGCGCAGUUAGGGCUGCGGAGUUUCCUUGUGCACAAGGACACUCCGCCAGCAUAAACAGCAAAUAAUAAAGCAUCUUUGCUCAAGCAUGAAAAAUUACAUUCAGUCUUUUUUUUAAUCUAACAAUGAAUGAAAUCCCAUGUCCUGAGCACUAUAUGCUAUUCAUGAAACAGAGACAGAGGAAUACCCACCCACUGCAAUAAAGGAAACACAUUUAUGUGUAAGCAUUUGACCAUCUACCUCAAAUCUGUACUUGUUUUUUGCACAUCAAAAACAUAUAAAACUAUACUUUACUAAAGAUUAACCUUUAGUCUAAUAGUAGCGCCGGCAGACAGGAGUCACAAUUCUGGCAAAGUGGCUCAGAUAUCACGGGGUAACCGACAUUAUUAAAAUGUGUCAAUACACGCCUUGGCAUGCUCUAAAUAGCCAGUGCAUUACGAUGAAAAAUAUGGCUUUUCAUUUUUAAUGAAUUCCCCUUUUCAUCUGUGGUUGGAACCAUGCAUUAUUUCGCUUAAAUAACAGCUUGAGGUCCUUAGAGGUGAGGUUAUCCAAUAUGAAAUGAAAACAUGAGCACACCCUUAUUUCCCCUUGUUUCCUGGAAUAACCCUAUAGCCCCAUAGAUUGAUAACACAUCGUGUUAGACACAGAGAAAUGAUGCUUUAGUUAACCGUUGACACACAGAUAGUAAUCAGUGAUAAUUUUAUUACAGUUUAUUGAUGUUUAUGAUAAAGAAACAGAUGAUUCCCAGCAAUCAGAGGGUUUUCAUAGGGGUGAGGGGUGAGGUACACCCUGGAGACACUCUUGUUCACACCUACGGCCAAAUUAAGCAUCACCUGCUAACAAAACAAGCAUCUCUUUACUGUUUUUCUGUUUUUACCAACUGCGUGAGGAAGCUGGGGCACCAGGAGGAAACAGAAAGGCCCCAGCCGACAAGCUUUCUUCCUGUGACGCCACAUCUCUAACAACUGCAUCAACCAAACGGCGUCACUGCCCGAGGCUGCGCGAGGGCUGAUUUGAGCAAAAAACCCCACAAAACAACACAAAGACCAACAGGCACUAUUACUUGCCUUCACUGUAGAGUUUGGGUUAUCAAAAAAGUGCAUUUUUCCUUUAUUCCAUUUUCCUUGUCACAUCACUGCAGUGUAUCACAUUUAACAGAUAAGGACAGUUUUAAAGUUGCUGCCAUCGGGGAAAACUGGACCGACUGCAUUUCAGCUUUAAUCUCACUAAUAUCAAAAGCGACUUUUUUUUAAAGAUGCUAAUAAAUUAGGGUUAUUAACCAGCACAUUUUAAAAGGGGGAAACUGGGAUCUGAGGAGAAUGAGAUGAGGGAUACAUUUUAUUAGCAAACCAAAAACUCAAGAACUAUUUUUUUUCAGUGACUGGAAUUAUUUAUCACGGAUCUUGAAGAAACUGGCUCAUAUCUAUUGCAUGCCAUACAUCUCUCCUGGCUGCAUUGUCUCCGACAUUUGAAGGACUGAAAGUGACAAAUAUCGACAAGUUUAUUCUAAGACAGAAUGAUGCGCUCCUCGGCAGGGAUUUUUUUUUUUUUAAAUAGAUGCUAUGCUGGCAUGGGUAUAUGAGGGGGUGGGAUAUGACAAUCCAUGAUAGGAAAUUGAUUUUUUUUUUCUUUAACCCUGGGUUCAAUUAUUGAGGUUCACGUUUGAUGGGACAAUAAUGAUGCCUAUCUGCAAAUACUGCCCAUCCCAACUCCUGCCAUUUUGUUUUCUUUUCCAUCAGGUUUGAUGGAGCUUUAAUUGAUUCACUAAUUGCCUUUAAUUAUAAAGUAAAUGACUUCUUUCUUCCACGCUAGUUGGGAUAUCUGUUUCGGCGGCUAUCAAAGAACAAGUUAAUAACCUGGAUGGUAGGGUUAAUAAUCACAGCCGGUGGUGUAAUUGUCAUUAGAUCUUAGUAAACAUAUAGAAAUGGAAUUAGUCCAUGAGCACACGAUUGCGUUUCGUGUCACAUCUUCUGCAAUCUUCAUGCUAUAAACCUAAACUAUAAAACCCAAAUUCAUCAUAUAUGACUCUGAUUUCUUGUGUUAUUUCUUUAAGAAAACAGGACAUUUGCCAUUCAUGCCUUUUUCUUUGUGGGUGCUGUGGAAGAGGUUACGCCGGAGCUGCCGCUAAACUGCUCAUUGUGGGAAAUAAAUCAUAGGACAGACAUUUUCUAGCAAGUUACUUUGUAAAACUAAAGUUCACCAAUAAUUGAAGGCUGAAAUAAAGGGAGUAUGCUGAGACUUCUGCUGCUGGUGCGGUUGUUGUUGAGUUAAACACACCGCUUGCUUUGCCACCCCUGAUAAAUAAAACAUAGAAGUGCUUCAGGAGAACGGGGUCUGCCUCCCUGCCUGCAUCAGACUUUCCCUGAAUACACUGUGGACACUGUGUCUCAACCUGACACCACAAACACUCAGUGCUUUUCACACGUCUGCACUCGCUAGCUCUUUACCAUUCCGCAUUCACGUAACCCCAUAUUCAUGCCAAAAAUAUUCAUGCUUUUUCUGGAACGCUCGCUUGUGAUCUUAUCACAGAGUGCCGUAGUCGCCGUUCACGUGCAUGCUACAGAUGGCUACGCACAGGAAAAACACAGGCACAGAAAACAUGGGCAAUUCAGCUUUAUUAGUCCCUCACUUUAAUGUCUGAAUUCCUUCAAACUUAUUAUUUUUUUUCCUCUGAGUAAUAUCAA